UAAUACGUAGGGUGCAAGCGUUAAUCGGAAUUACUGGGCGUAAAGGGUGCGCAGGCGGUUUUGUAAGUCAGAUGUGAAAUCCCCGGGCUUAACCUGGGAACUGCGUUUGAAACUACAAGACUAGAGUGUGGCAGAGGGGGGUGGAAUUCCAUGUGUAGCAGUGAAAUGCGUAGAGAUAUGGAAGAACAUCGAUGGCGAAGGCAACCCCCUGGGUUAACACUGACGCUCAGGCACGAAAGCGUGGGGAGCAAACAGGAUUAGAUACCCUGGUAGUCC
rnacentral:rRNA from 1 species